rnacentral:lncRNA from 1 species
GAAGAGGAAACUUAAAAACAGAAGGGUAUUCAUUCCACCUCAAGUGAAAACAGCUAAGAAAAUAUCAUGCAAAUGGAGACAGCAUACAUAAAGUUAUCAGGAAGAACACACUUUCUAAAGAGCUUUCAAUUUUUAAAGAAGAAACAAACAAAACACCUGCCAAAAGAGUCAAUACUCAUUAACACAAGAAAUGUUUCACUGAAAAUCCCAUUUGCCCGCUUCCUCCGUAAAGGCCAGCAAUAAUACCAACUGAGGAGGAUGUCAGAUAUCACAGAACACUUAGAAUGAAAUGACUGCAAGCGCGUGAGUGGGUGGGAGACUCGGGAACCGCAAACCCCGCCCCCAAAGCAGCCCUUCCAAGUUGCGGUCUAAAAUGAAAUUUAAACGCCACAUAGUCAAACCAAGUGACUAAAAGAAGAAGAAACCAGAAUCAGAACCCCUGUGGCUUCUUGUUUUAAUUUCAAGUCGUCCCUUCAACUUUAUUCAGCGAAAAUAAAAGGAACGAGGGGAAGAGUUUUAGGCUCUCU